rnacentral:rRNA from 1 species
ACGGGAGGCAGCAGUGGGGAAUAUUGCACAAUGGGGGAAACCCUGAUGCAGCAACGCCGCGUGAGCGAUGAAGGCCUUCGGGUCGUAAAGCUCUGUCCUAAGGGAAGAUAAUGACGGUACCUUAGGAGGAAGCCCCGGCUAACUACGUGCCAGCAGCCGCGGUAAUACGUAGGGGGCAAGCGUUAUCCGGAAUCAUUGGGCGUAAAGGGUGCGUAGGCUGCCCUAUAGGUCAGAGGUCAAAGGCUACGGCUCAACCGUAGUAAGCCUUUGAAACUGUAGGGCUUGAGUGCAGGAGAGGAGAGUGGAAUUCCUAGUGUAGCGGUGAAAUGCGUAGAUAUUAGGAGGAACACCAGUGGCGAAGGCGACUCUCUGGACUGCAACUGACGCUGAGGCACGAAAGCGUGGGUAGCGAACAGGAUUAGAUACCCUGGUA